GGGCACUUAGCACAGUGGUAGCGCGCCUGCUUUGCAUGCAUGAGGCCGUGGGUUCAAUCCCCACAGUGUCCA
rnacentral:tRNA from 1 species